GAUGGUGCUCGACCGCUCCUGCUCCCCGCUCCGGAGAGCAGCAGAACUGUUUCUCCGUCGGCGGCUCCGGCCCUGGCACCGGCACCGGUCGCUUUACCUCCCCGCCAGAACACGAAAACCCGCCCCCUCCGACGCUAGAGACACUCAGCUUUAUAUCUGCAGCAUCAGCGAGAAAGCCCGGCUUGGCGCAGGCUCAGUGUUCACCGCCGCAGUCCCGGACGGAGGAGGGGGGCUUGGGAGCUCAGCGUCUUCGCAGCGGGUUAAUGUCUUCACAUACAACAUCUCCCUGAAUGUGCAAUGUCUUUCCUGCUCGGGAGUGCUGCGUCCUUCAGAGUGAAUUGGUUCCUCUUUCGGAGCAGAGAUACUGCAGACACCAGAGAAAGAAAGAGGAGAAAGGUUAUUUCCCUUACUUUCUUAUCCUUAUGCAUACAGUAUAUCUGGAGAUCUUGAAGACUGAACUGUUGAGGACUUCCAGCUAGAACCAAAAUGAGAUCUGUUCUGAACAUCUGAAGUACCAGGUAAUACAAGACACUCUGAAAUUCAUGUAAUGAGUGUCAGAUUUGAUUAUUCUAAAUUUAGAAAUACUUCUUCAAAUUUAUGUUUCUUUUCCCUACCUGACAAGUAUCCCUGACUUUCCAUUGUCUCACAGUGGUGUGAAAUUAUACUGAAAUAUAUUUGUGAAACAUUCAAUUAAUUCAGAAAAGCCAAUAUGUAAAUAAAUAAUUCCCCCUUAAGAAAAAAUAAAAUAAUUAAAUAAAAAUACUUGGCAAAUAAAUCCAAUUGAGAUAUACAAGUGAGCUCUAUUCAUUUUGUAUAUUGAAGAAUCUUCCUGUUCAACUUGUUCCAGUCUCUGUUCCCUGCUGUUUCUAUUUUUCCUCUGUUGCAGUUUCCAGUCAGACCAGUAUAAUUCUGUACUAGGUCUGGCUGGAAUGGAGUCAACUUCCUUUGUAGCAUCCCAUAUGGUGCUGUGUUUUACAUUUCUGACCAAAACUGUGUUGAUAAUAUACCAGUGUUUUAGCAAUUGCUGAGUGGUGCUUGCAUAAUAUCAGGGACUUUGUUUUCUCACUCU